rnacentral:lncRNA from 1 species
GGCGGGAAGUAAUAUAAUUAUCUUAAUAUUAAUUAUGCUGCGACGGAAAUUUGCCGUAGUAUAUUUUGUAAUGGCGACGGCAUUAGGGGUAGCAUGAAACCGUCGCAGAGUAAGUGUCGCAAAGAUCUUUGCCGUCGCAAAAGUGGUUUGCGACGGCAUUUUGCCGUGGCUAAAGAUAUUGGCGACGCCACCAACGGCGUCAGAAGCUUUGCCGUCGCAGAGCCGUCGCAAAUGCUUUUUUGCCACGGCAAAACAGCUUUUCGCUACGGCAGGGCGCCGUGGCUA